rnacentral:rRNA from 1 species
UGGGUAAUCUGCCCUUCUCAUCGGAAUAAGCGUUGGAAACGACGUCUAAUGCCGAAUACGACCUCCUUUCGCAUGAUCGGAGGUGGAAAGCUCCGGCGGUGAAGGAUGAGCUCGCGACCUAUCAGCUUGUUGGUGAGGUAAUGGCUCACCAAGGCGACGACGGGUAGCCGGCCUGAGGAGGGUGACCCGGCCACACUGGGACUGAGACACCGGCCCAGACCUCCGUACGGGA